rnacentral:rRNA from 1 species
GAUGAACGCUGGCGGCGUGCCUAAUACAUGCAAGUCGAGCGAACAGACGAGGAGCUUGCUCCUCUGACGUUAGCGGCGGACGGGUGAGUAACACGUGGAUAACCUACCUAUAAGACUGGGAUAACUUCGGGAAACCGGAGCUAAUACCGGAUAAUAUAUUGAACCGCAUGGUUCAAUAGUGAAAGACGGUUUUGCUGUCACUUAUAGAUGGAUCCGCGCCGCAUUAGCUAGUUGGUAAGGUAACGGCUUACCAAGGCGACGAUGCGUAGCCGACCUGAGAGGGUGAUCGGCCACACUGGAACGGAGACACGGUCAAGACUCCUGCGGGAGGCAGCAGUAGGGAAUAUUCCGCAAUGGGCGAAAGCCUGACGGAGCAACGCCGCGUGAGUGAUGAAGGUCUUCGGAUCGUAAAACUCUGUUAUUAGGGAAGAACAAAUGUGUAAGUAACUAUGCACGUCUUGACGGUACCUAAUCAGAAAGCAACGGCUAACUACGUG